rnacentral:rRNA from 1 species
UACGGAGGGUGCAAGCGUUACUCGGAAUUACUGGGCGUAAAGCGUCCGUAGGCGGCUUGUUAAGUCUGAUGUGAAAGCCCUGGGCUUAACCUGGGAACGGCAUUGGAUACUGGCGAGCUAGAGUUCGGUAGAGGGUGGUGGAAUUCCCGGUGUAGCGGUGAAAUGCGUAGAGAUCAGGAGGAACACCGGUGGCGAAGGCGGCCACCUGGACCGAGACUGACGCUGAGGGACGAAAGCGUGGGGAGCAAACAGG